UGGAAUUGUUCUUUGGUGCUAUAAUCACUAGCUCUUGUAAGAGCUAUCCUGCUGUACUCUCUGGAGGAGGAGAUGUCUGCCAACUAGAAGCUGGAUCCUGGUCUUGGGGUCCAGGGUGGAUGAAAGACAGUGAGACCCCAACCAAGCUGUAACGCUGGAAGUGGGGACUACGGUGCUCAUGGUGUCUGGUGGAGUGCUUGGAAGUAUUCGGUGAGCACUAGAAAGCAGCGAUUGGCAGAGGCACCCAGUUGGGGUGCCAGGCGGUCAGUCACAGUCAUCUGCUAGAAAUGGGUACUGCUGGACUGCAUACCACCUUAAGGCCCGGUAAGAAUCAUCCGGCCACAAUUCUUUCUGGAC